rnacentral:lncRNA from 1 species
GUUUUUUGGUUUUCCAGUAGUUAUUCUAACAUUUUUUUUAUUUAUAAUUCUUGCAAUCUUGGUGCUGUAGCUGGUUCUCAAUGAGUUAAUGUAGAUUUUGUUGCUAUUCAGAUAGCGGAGAAUAUGAGAUUUGUAAAUGAUGUGAAGACUUUAGUUCUUCAGCUUAGACAUGAACCUGGUCUCUUGCUACCUGAUAAUUAUGCAGCAAAAGAACUUUCUCCAAAAAUAGGGGUACCUGUGUUUCUUGGGAAUUCUACUUCUGGAGACCUAUCUGGCGUAUCGAAUAUGACCAACUCUAUUCCAUUCAUUGCUGAGAGUUACAACUAUGUGGAAAACUCUGAUCAGACUACCGAGUUUGUUGGUGACACAUCUCAUUCUUUAGCAAGACAUAUCCAGGAUAAUUUGCAGUUUAAUGGUGCUACAUUUCAUACCUCUAGCUCGAGCCAAAGCCACGUUCAGCUUGAUGAUGAUCUCAAGGAAGCGAAGUUUGCUACGAGAAUGAAGACAAACUCUACUUUGGAAAAUGAAGUAGUGACAAAAGCUGAAGUUAUAUUGAAUCUGGAGAUGCUGAUGAACCAACAGGCAUAUCUGCACAUCCCAGGAUCUGCUUUGCAUCAACUAUCCUCCAGCAGUUCAUCUACUAUCGACAGUGGCAGCUCAAGGUGGGUGGAAAAGGGAAUGUCAAAUGCUGGUACUCAGUGCCAUUUUGGCAGCGCCAAUAUGUCAUCUGGCCUGUUGACGUCUGUGCCGAGAAUAAAUUCAGACCUGAUAUCUAGUUCUCAUGAAAAUCCUGUUGACCAUUUAACGUCCAAUCACUUGCUUGUAUAUGACUCAGGUAGCAGACAUUAUUGUACAGAUGACAGAAACGGGAAACGCGAGUUGAAUGUGUGCAAUGAAAGAAUGGAAAACAAUAUAAUUCAAGCUCGUGGUAUCCCCCUGUCCAAACAUGAUGAGCAUAAGAAUUCAGUUGAGUUUCUACCUGAUUUCGUUCUAGCUGACAGAAAGUAUGAACUUGAAGGUUGGAGUCAAUCUUUUAGAAAUACUGAAUAUCGAGAUGCAUGUAUAGGACCUCAACCAGGAGAUGAUUUGUUUGAUAUUUUGGGAAUUGAAUUUAAGAACAAACUAUUCAACAGUCACUGGAAUAAUAGUUUGAAAAAUGCAUCAUACUCGAACAUGGUUAAUCUGGAUAAAAAAAAUUCUCCAUCUGUAAAAGCUCAGGACACUGCUUCCGAAAUAUAUUCUCUUAACUGUGGAAACUCCAAUGGCAGUGAACAUCUGUUAGACGCUGUGGUCUCUGAGGUUCAUUCUUCUGCUAAGCAGCGCUCAGAUGAUAAUGUUUCUUGCAGGACAACAAUGACAAAUAACAGUAGCCACUGCAGACCUAAUGUUGAACUCCCCUACAGCCAGGCUCAGGUUCUUGAUCAAAUUAAGGAAGAGUUAUUUGGUGUUCCAGAAUAUCUGGCAGAAGCAGAAGCAAUGAGUUGUUCAUUUUUAUCUGGAUCUUCUAAGGAUUAUUCGAGCACCUAUUCCCUGAAUAGUUCCAUUUAUGGAUCACAAAUAAGUUCAUCAGUUGUAAAGGGUCAGGACAUCAAACAGAGUAGCUGUGCAUCUACAGGAUACUCUAAGAAGCCUGAUGAAAUGUGCAAAACAAAUCGCAAGAGGCUUAAACCAGGAGAAAAUCAUAGGCCAAGGCCGAAGGAUCGCCAGAUGAUCCAAGAUCGUGUAAAGGAAUUAAGGGAAAUUGUGCCAAAUGGGGCAAAGGUGACAUUUCUUGUCUUUGGCUCAAACUAUUUCCUUGUCUCUAUAGGCAGAUAAUUCUUAUAUCCUGUAGUAAUUCUAUUGAUUUGGUCAACAGUGUAGCAUUGAUGCUCUUCUCGAACGGACUAUCAAGCAUAUGCUUUUUUUGCAAAAUGUCACAAGGCAUGCAGACAAGCUGAAACAAACAGGAGAGCCAAAGGUGCGAGAUACCGACUUGUUUUUCUCGAGUGUUGGAUACUACUUUUUGACCUAUGUUAUGCAUUGAGCGAAUUGGACUUGAGAGAUGCUGUUUUUGUUCAGAGAUAUAAAGCAUGUCUGGCCUUACUGAAAAGAGAUAAUUUUUUUGCCAAACAUGUUGAGCUUUUUCGGAAGUUACUUUUUUGGGGAAUUUUUAGUUCUAAAACUUAAUUUUAUAAAAUUCUUAUUUUCUACAGAAGUACUUUCAUUUUUUUAGGCUUAGCCAAACAUUUUUAUUAUAAUCUACAUUAGCAGACAGUUUAUGUGAAUUUUAUGAAAAACAUAUUAAUAUGGAAAUUUAGAAUGCAAAAGUUGGCAAGAAGAGUAAUACAAUGUCCAAUGGACAUCUCAAUAGGCUUUACAUAGGAAAGUUGAGAAAUAAAUAUGAGAUUGUUCAUCUUCUUAAGCUUCAGAUUGUUAGCAAGGAUGGCGGUUUGCUCUCGAAAGAUAACUUUGAAGGAGGAGCAACUUGGGCAUAUGAAGUUGGUUCGCAGGCUAUGGUAUGCCCUAUCAUAGUUGAAGAUCUAAAUCAACCCCGUCAAAUGCUUGUGGAGGUAAUCACUGUCUUCUGUUACAUCUCAAGUCCACGUGAUAACUGUUACUGGCCAUUGUACACAGUGGCAGAUGUUUGUUGUUCUUUUCCUCACUGUUUUCCUUUGUGGCAGAUGCUUUGUGAAGAGAGAGGUUUGUUUUUAGAAAUUGCUGACGUAAUUCGAGGGUUGGGGUUAACCAUUUUGAAGGGGGUUAUGGAAACUCGGAAAGACAAUAUAUGGGCACACUUUGCUGUGGAGGUAAUAGUUAUGAAUUCGUUGGGCUUGAUCUCCUUUACGAUUUCUCCAAAGAUAGAUGUUGACUUCCAUGAAAGUCUUAUGAUUACCCCAAAACAUGAUUUUAUCCGACUUGUACUAUCUAAUGUUGAAGUUUUCAUUGACAAGUCGAAAUAUUCUCUUUUUCUGGCUUUUCUUUUUCUUUAUGGUGGUGGUUUUGGUUGGAAGGGUUCAAGGACGAGAGGCUUAGCAUUUGCUAUUAUACUUCUUUUAUCUAAUCUCAGGAAGUUAAAAACACUAGCAGUCAAUGUUAGCAAAGUUUCAUGUUGAUCAUUAAACAUUUUGUUUCAAGUUACUUGCUGAACUUAAAAAAGAAAAAGUCAGUUACAAUCUGGUGAUAAGGAUGUGACAAGGAUGGAGAUUUUUUACUUUCAAGCUUAAAUUUUAUACCUUUUUCCAGCAGGCUAACAGGGAUGUGACGAGGAUGGAGAUUUUCGUCUCACUGGUUCACCUCUUAGAGAAAAAUGCAAAAAAUGUCAUUCAACCAGCCAAAGGCAUUAGUAAGGAAAUACCAUGAUGGUUCAGCAAUUUCAUCAAGCUACCUCUGCUCCUGCAUUUCAUCAAACUGGAGCAACCAGUUUGACACCGAAAUUUAGGGCCGUGAUAUGUUAUGAGCGAGAUUCUACUCGCCAUGACUGACAUAUGUUCCCGAUCAGUCUUGUGAUCAGUUAACGGCAACUGUUGAUACUUCUUCCUUCACAAGUUGAAUGGAGGUUGGAUGAUACCUAGGACUGAGUUACAUUUAGAAUCUGAUGGAUUAGCAAAUGUAACAAGUAAUCAAAUGCCAUAGAAUUAUCAUCUUAGAGCAUGGCAAUUGAUUGGAGAAAGUAGUGUUCCAUUUUUUUCCCUGGUAUCCUGCUACUUCUAGCAGUGUUUCAUUUCAGCAAAUCUCCCAAAGUAAAUAAUUUUCACUUGAAAAAAUCUCUCCCAAACAAUCACUGAUUUAUGUUGUCUCUGUAACAUUUGAAAGUGUUACCUUUUUCUUCACAUGUGCAUUAUGCUGGUUAGUGUUGUGCAUUAUUAGGGUAAUUGAUGAAGCACCUUAGUUUCGUACUCAGCCAAAAUCAAAUAAAAGGGCCAAGAUAUCUAAUAAGUUAACGGUGUUGGGUGCGGACAAUAUGAUAGGCUUUGGACUGUAUAUAUAUUAUGAUCACAUAAUGUUUAUAUUAUAUGUUAGGAAAAUUAACGAGCAUAGAUUAUAUUUUAAUAAUUAACAUUUUACUAUAUCUCGUGCAUGUGUUGACAAUUUUUCGACAUUCGUUUUUCAAGGUACAACGAUCACCUCUCAUAAUAGAUGUAACACAAAUUAUGUAGACCAAUGAACUUACUGAUGUUUUGAACUCUUUAUGUGAAAUUCAACUCAAAAUAAAAGCAAAAAUUAUUUUGGAAGUGAAUAUAUAUUAAUGUGAUAAUGCAAGGAUUAAGACGAUGAAUGAAAAUUUCAAAUACAUGGAAUUUGUAUAUAGUUGUUGGAAAGUUAUGUCUCAAAUGACAAAACAAAAGGAUGUAACUAUUGAAAUUAGUCUCAGUGAAAGGCGCACGUAUUGAAAAAUAACAAUUCCAAAAGCUAUAAUCUUCCAUAUGAAAAUUCAGAAGACAUUUAUUAAAAAUAACAAUUCCAAAAGUUAUGAUCUUUCAUAUAAAAAAUAUACAUCUUUGCAACUGGACAUAUUCUAGAAUAUUUUGUUAUAUUCUACUAAAUUUACCAACAAUUACAGCUGAAAUCGUCGACUAACGAUUUUUGCUUAAAUAAUUAAAUUCUAUACAAAUUUCCAACAUUAUAUUCUUUAAAUUUUUUUGCCAUAGAAGAAACCAUUGCUUCUUAAAGUGAUCAACGUUAUAAUUUUUUUUAUAGCAGUGUUAAAAUAAUACUAUUAUGAAUAGAAAUUUCUUUCUUAAAAGGUUAUAUAUAUGAAAUGAACAAGUUUCGUUUCCUUUAAAGAUGUUUUCAUACAUUACGGGAAAAAAAAUAUAAAUCAUUAAUAAUUUUUCUUGAAUAUGUAUUGUACAUAUAUGGUAACAAAUCAAGGAGUUAACCAUGUUCCAUCCCCUUGUAAGUUAACAGUGGUUUCGCUGAAUAUUUUUAUACAAGUUCACUUUAAUAUUACGAGUUCAAUAAUUACAAAACAUGAAACAAAUCAAUCUGUACAUAUAAUUAAAAAUUCAAAAUUCAAAAAAAAAACCACAAUAAAUUUCACGAUAAAUUGUUAUGUUUUCUUUUAAUAUUAACAAUCCAUGCCAAAAUUAAGGCUAAUAAAAGCCUCUAUACAAAUAUAUCUAUCAAAAGAAACAAAACAAGAAAUAAGUAAUCCACGCUCCUCAUGGGAUUGUCGAGUUGAUGGAGUAGGUGAGCGCAGAGACUUCUGAUCACGAGUUCGAUUCCCCCCAGGGGCGGAGCCACAUAGAGUCCAGUGCAGGCGCCUGCCCGCACUGGACUUUGGGGUUGACACAGAAAAUUUCAUUGUGCCUGCACUGGUGAUAGGACCAAGAAGGAAGAAUUACAGUAGCAGGCAGUAGCCAUUGAUAAGAAACUUGACGGCAGUUAAAAAGUGUUGAGUUUGGAAGAUGAAGGAGAGUGGAUUGGGCCUUUUCUUAAUUAUGGGUAUUUUCUUUUGGAGUGUUGGACCUCUUGUUUUAGAAAACUUAGUUGGCCCAGGUCCUGGUUUAAUAGUACAUAUUGUAUUCUUUUACAAUUGGCAUUUCAAAUAACAAAGGAAGAAAGCUAGAAGCUGAAAGCCGGCAAACACCUUCUGCUGCGCCGCUCGUUGACCAGUUGUCGUGUCGACUGCGAACGACCAAGACCAUCAUGUCGCCUCUCCAUGACUUGUUAGCCUCCGGUGAGUCCAGUGACUCCAUUCUCUGCCUCUUGUCCUUUUUCUUGCUUAUUUUUUGGUUUUUAUUUUUUAGACUUUAGUUCAUUGAUUUAUCAUUUAUGAAUUAUUAUUUAUAUUUUAUGAGUUUAUGAUUGUGAUUGUUGAGGUUUAUGAUUUAUGCAAAUUGGGAAUUUUGUGAAUUUGAGAAUAUGUGAUAAUACGUGGUUGUGGACUGUGAUUUAUUUGUGAGAAAUGAAAAGGAUAUAUAUUGAAAAUUUUUUGAUUUGUGAGAAAUAUUAAGAAAUUGUUGAACCCUUUCAUAAACUAAUUUUGACAAAAAAAAUAAAAAUAAAAAAUCACUGUAGCUAUACUUGCGCUGAACAAAAUCUCUGGCUCUGCUAUGGAUUCUCCCUACCAAUAUUUUCUCAGUCGAGUUUGUCACACUUGACUUGCCUAGUGUGAUUUACCUGACAGACGUGAUUUAUAGGCUAUUAUGUCAGUCCAAGGGUUUACCUAGUGCGCAUCCGAAGAGUAGCGGGUGCUGGUUCUCCCAUCAUAAAAAAAGAAAAAAAGAAAGAAAGAAAUAAGUAAUUCGCUUGCUGUCAACUUUCACAACUUAAAAGGCUAUAAAUUUUAAAAUUACUUACUCGCAAGGCUUUUAAUCCCAAAUAGUAGCAUUGGUUAAAAAAACAAUCUUAUCAUAGUCCAAAGUGAAUCAAUUUAGACUAAAAUCAUACAUUUUAAUAGAAAAAUAAAGUUAUUUUAUCAUCCAUACUUCUUCUUUUUUUUUUUCUUUUUUCUUUUGCGCAUAUUGGCAAUGAUUAAAAAAAAAAACUAAUCAAAUAUAAUUAUUUUUAUUAUUUAUUCCAUUCUAUUAAAAUGAACAAUAUCCCUUGGGAAAAAAAAGUAAUUAAAUAAUUCUAAAGGGUCUUUAAAUUAAGGUUGUUUCUUUACCAACAUAAGUCUCAAGUAAAGCAAGCACCCUCAAUUGUCACCUUGUUCUAUGUGCAUAGAUGCCACAGCCCUCUUUUGAAUAUAAGCUAUUUUAAAAUUAUAUUUUGUGUGUGUAUAUAUAUAUAUAUAUAUAUAUAUAUAUUCAAAGUACUUAUAAAUUCAAAAAUAAGCUUUAAUUAAUCUAACGAUAAAAGAUUACCGGACUUAUUUUUUUAUGAAUUAUAGUUCACCUCUCUUAAAGAACCUAUAUUCACGGUGGCUUAUUUUCUCAAAUAGUGACUUUACAUUAAUUUCUUACUUUUCUAAUCACCUCGUUUGUAACAAGAAUUAUUAAAAAAAAAUAAAAAUGGGUACUUGCUCUAAAACCACUAUAUUAUUUAACAUUACACAAAACUCAUCUUUAUAAGAUUAGCUUGUAAUAAAAGAUAUCUCGAGUAUUUACAAAUAAAUAAUUAAAUCUCCUUUAAAUUUGGUAUUUAUUCAAUAGGUACUCAAUGCAAAUUUUUCCUUAUUUAAAAGAUGUCUCCAAUAAAUUUGUCUACUAAUGCUCUUUAUUUAGCCUCCGUUUGGCCCCCAUUAAUUUUAAUUAUAAUGUGGAAAUAGUGAAUUUUUUUUUUUUUUUGAAAAAUGGAUGGUUGUAAAAAAAUAAAAAGUUUUUGAUUUACAUGUAAUAUUAUUUUAUUGAAAAUUGUGUGAUUUAAAAUAGGAGAGAGAAAAAUUUAAUUAAAUUUGAUAAAAUAUAAUGGAGGCCAAACGGGGGCUUAAUAGAUAUUAAACGCAAGUAUUCCCUCAUUUAAAAGAUGUCUAAAUAGUAAAUCCAUGUUGGAUAUUGGUUAAAUAAAUCGAGAAUUGAAAAUCGAUUAAAGUGACUUCGUAUCGACUUCGGCCAAGUACUCAAAAGCUCGACUUAAUCCGUUUAGGCAAAAUUGUUUGCCACUUCGCCACUUCGGGCGCACAAACGGGGAUCGACCUACGUGAGAUUAGGUUGCGGGGGGUCGAGGGGGCAGCGCUCCCCGUGGGGGCUCGGGGGCAACGCCCCCGAAAGAGAAUUUUGAUUUCUCUGCAUGUAUUGAAGGGUAUAUUUGACAUUUCGAAAAUCAAUAUCGGAUGAAUGAAAAAUUACGAAAAAGGACGAAAAUCAGUGAAUAGACACCUUUUCAUAAAUGUGCAUUGUUUGGAAAAAGGUGCAUGGUUUGGCCUCAACCAUUAGUGAAUAGACACCUUUUCAUAAAGGUGCAUUGUUUGGAAAGGGUGCAUGGUUUGGCCUCAACCAUUUCGUUCACACCCUUUCAUGAUCUAUAAAUAGGACCCUUUGGGUGUCCUAUUCCUCACAAUUUUUUUAUGCAAAACAUCUCUCAUCCUCUCUUCUAUCCAAAAUCAAAAUCAUUUCAUUUAUUUUGAUUUUUCUUCAUUUCAUCCUUGGAGUACAUAAGCCUAAAUUUGGUUUGUUGUACUUGUGUUUUGGAGUGCUACAAACACAAGUGUAGCCGUUGUAUCUUGGGAGUCAAUUGCCGAAAUCCGUAGGCACCGUUGCGGGGCAAAUUCGACUUAAGGAUAAAGAGUCCAACUCUUGCCUUGGCUUUGUCCCUACUUUCUUCUUCUUCUUGUUUGUGUUUUCUUUGCCGUUACUCUGUCCAAUUUUCGGCACGGAUUUACAAACCAUCAUUAUACUUAUUUUGGCGUCACUAUUCACAAAAUUCCUCCAACAAUCUUAAGUCGAAUUUUAUAUAUUUUGUGAAAGUGACAUUCUUGUUUGGUUAAACUUGUUAAGUNCUGGCUUUUCUUUUUCUUUAUGGUGGUGGUUUUGGUUGGAAGGGUUCAAGGACGAGAGGCUUAGCAUUUGCUAUUAUACUUCUUUUAUCUAAUCUCAGGAAGUUAAAAACACUAGCAGUCAAUGUUAGCAAAGUUUCAUGUUGAUCAUUAAACAUUUUGUUUCAAGUUACUUGCUGAACUUAAAAAAGAAAAAGUCAGUUACAAUCUGGUGAUAAGGAUGUGACAAGGAUGGAGAUUUUUUACUUUCAAGCUUAAAUUUUAUACCUUUUUCCAGCAGGCUAACAGGGAUGUGACGAGGAUGGAGAUUUUCGUCUCACUGGUUCACCUCUUAGAGAAAAAUGCAAAAAAUGUCAUUCAACCAGCCAAAGGCAUUAGUAAGGAAAUACCAUGAUGGUUCAGCAAUUUCAUCAAGCUACCUCUGCUCCUGCAUUUCAUCAAACUGGAGCAACCAGUUUGACACCGAAAUUUAGGGCCGUGAUAUGUUAUGAGCGAGAUUCUACUCGCCAUGACUGACAUAUGUUCCCGAUCAGUCUUGUGAUCAGUUAACGGCAACUGUUGAUACUUCUUCCUUCACAAGUUGAAUGGAGGUUGGAUGAUACCUAGGACUGAGUUACAUUUAGAAUCUGAUGGAUUAGCAAAUGUAACAAGUAAUCAAAUGCCAUAGAAUUAUCAUCUUAGAGCAUGGCAAUUGAUUGGAGAAAGUAGUGUUCCAUUUUUUUCCCUGGUAUCCUGCUACUUCUAGCAGUGUUUCAUUUCAGCAAAUCUCCCAAAGUAAAUAAUUUUCACUUGAAAAAAUCUCUCCCAAACAAUCACUGAUUUAUGUUGUCUCUGUAACAUUUGAAAGUGUUACCUUUUUCUUCACA